ensembl:lncRNA
GUCAACCACCCUGCAAAGCUGGUGAACGAUGGCUUCCAGGAACUCACCUUUACCACUUGAUACACAACUUGGCAGGAGUGAAACUGAGAUUUGUUGUGGAAUGAACACUGCCUAUUUGCCUUGUGGUAGCUUUGUUUUUGUUCCAGCUCCCAAUACAGGUCCUGAGUUGUUGCUUAAAAUGAUGUCACCUGAUUCUCCAUUGCACAUUUGCAGCAGAUCCACCUUCUUAAUUUCUACCAAUUGUCUGCUCACAAAUUUGUUAAGCAUUACAAAAAAUGAGAACGGUCAAUGGGACCAUAGAUGUCUUUGAGGCUAAGACCUCAAACAGCUCUGUGCCAGUUCCUGACAUGGCACAGAUACAUAUGCCUGCUCUUAAGAAUUGCAGAACCAGCCCAGGUUUGUCUGUCUGAGCUUUGGUAUCUCCUGUUGAGUUAUGGUGCAGAACAUAGUUUCUGUUUAAAAUGAACUCUCUGGCCAUAGUCAAGAAUGCAGUUUGUCAGGAACUGCAGGUUGUUCUGAAUGGUAGUAAUUGUCACUCAUAGUUGUUUGGAGGGUUAUGUUGUUAAAGGUCUCUACCCAGUAACUACAGCGUUGGUCUAUCCCUGCUGAGCAUGAAACCAUAGAGUGUGUAAAAGUGAGACUGGAUACCAAUCUCAGCUGGGUCUCUGGUGGGACUCACAUGAGCUCACCAGCCCUCACUGUAUUUAAGGGCCUCUGUAUUUUAGAGCAGUUGGGGCUCAGGAGAUUGAGCAGGUUGUCUACCAGUUGGAAGUUCAGUGGUUUGAGCACCAGGUGCUCCAGACUGCAAGCUGAAGUGUUCAUAGGCAAGAUAUAUUUGUACAUAUAUUUAUUCUUAUUUUUCUCAUAUUUCUUAUAUUUUGUUUUGUUUUUUAUAUUUCUUGUAUUUUGAACAUCACUGUUGCUUUUGGGAAGCUUGCACACAAGAAUUUCACUCACAUGUGCUGCCAGUGUACCAGUAAUGUGAUGUGACAAUACAAGUGAUUUGAUUUAAUUAUUCCCAGUAGCCACUUCAUCCCAUCCUCUCCUGUUUCAAUAUUGUCAGGUGUCAGUCACCCAGCGAUCCCUCUCUGCCUGUCUUGGUCGUUUGUUUACCUCUGGAAAAGGAAAUAACUCUCCCUGGAAUACACCCCCUGUUUUCCCAGAUGACCCUGCCUCUCUGUCCUCUUUAUCCACCAUUUCCUCCCUGUCUAUAUUCCCCACUGCUCAAACAAAACAAACGUAUUCAUCCAUAGACUUCCACUGGUAAAUACAACCUAUGAACUUGUUCCUGUCUUAUGUCACCUUUUGGGCCCAACAGUGUUUUCAUUGUAUUAGAAAAGAGUGUUUAUACUAACUGUGUCAUUCUAUUGCUACUUCACAACAUAGGCUGUUCGCGACUCAAAGGAGGGCAGUUGCGUACUGCUUGAUCAGAUUUUAUACUCAUUCUCUGCUCUUGAAAGUGGCGAAAGGCUUUGUGUUCUUGAUGAUAUCUCAGAGUAAACUUGUCACAGUGACGCAGACACAUGUCAGUCUAUUAUAGCUUUUGCUCACAAUAACAUGGUUUUUGGCAGGGGUGAUAAGCUGUGAGGAGGCUCUGUGCCACAUGGGUCUUACACAGUCUGCCC